GGGAUAAGCGCUGGAAACGGCGUCUAAUACUGGAUAUGUCCCGUCACCGCAUGGUGUGCGGRUGGAAAGAUUUUUCSGUUGGGGAUGGGCUCGCGGCCUAUCAGCUUGUUGGUGAGGUAAUGGCUCACCAAGGCGUCGACGGGUAGCCGGCCUGAGAGGGUGACCGGCCACACUGGGACUGAGACACGGCCCAGACUCCUACGGGAGGCARCAGUGGGGAAUAUUGCACAAUGGGCGGAAGCCUGAUGCAGCAACGCCGCGUGAGGGAUGACGGCCUUCGGGUUGUAAACCUCUUUUAGCAGGGAAGAAGCGAGAGUGACGGUACCUGCAGAAAAAGCACCGGCUAACUACGUGCCAGCAGCCGCGGUAAUACGUAGGGUGCAAGCGUUAUCCGGAAUUAUUGGGCGUAAAGAGCUCGUAGGCGGUCUGUCGCGUCUGCUGUGAAAUCCCGAGGCUCAACCUCGGGCUUGCAGUGGGUACGGGCAGACUAGAGUGCGGUAGGGGAGAUUGGAAUUCCUGGUGUAGCGGUGGAAUGCGCAGAUAUCAGGAGGAACACCGAUGGCGAAGGCAGAUCUCUGGGCCGUAACUGACGCUGAGGAGCGAAAGGGUGGGGAGCAAACAGGCUUAGAUACCCUGGUAGUCCACCCCGUAAACGUUGGGAACUAGUUGUGGGGUCCUUUCCACGGAUUCCGUGACGCAGCUAACGCAUUAAGUUCCCCGCCUGGGGAGUACSGGCCGCAAGGCUAAAACUCAAAGGAAUUGACGGGGACCCGCACAAGCGGCGGAGCAUGCGGAUUAAUUCGAUGCAACGCGAAGAACCUUACCAAGGCUUGACAUACACGAGAACGGGCCAGAAA
rnacentral:rRNA from 1 species